CGAGGGAUGCUCAAGGACAGUGCUAUGCUAGAAUACCUGAAGAUUGCCCAGGACCUAGAAAUGUAUGGGAUCAACUAUUUCGAGAUCAAAAACAAGAAAGGAACAGACCUUUGGCUUGGAGUCGAUGCCCUUGGACUUAACAUUUAUGAGAAAGAUGACAAGUUGACCCCGAAGAUUGGCUUCCCUUGGAGUGAGAUCAGGAGCAUCUCUUUCAACGACAAGAAGUUUGUCAUUAAGCCUAUCGACAAGAAGGCACCUGACUUUGUGUUCUACGCCCCGCGCCUGAGAAUUAACAAGCGGAUCCUGCAGCUCUGCAUGGGGAACCAUGAGCUGUACAUGCGCCGCAGGAAGCCCGACACCAUCGAAGUGCAGCAGAUGAAGGCCCAGGCUCCGGAGGAGAAGCACCAGAAGCAGCUGGAGCGACAACAGUUGGAAACCGAGAAGAAGAGGAGAGAGACGGUAGAGAGAGAGAAGGAACAGAUGCUCCGGGAGAAGGAGGAGCUGAUGCUGCGGCUGCAGGACUAGGAGCAGAAGACCAAGAGGGCGGAGAAAGAGCUCUCCCAGCAGAUUGAGAAGGCCCUCCAGCUGGAGGAAGAGAGGAGGCGAGCCCAGGAGGAGGCUGAACGUCUGGCCGCAUGGCCGCCCUGCGGGCCAAGGAAGAACUGGAGAGACAGGCCCAGGAUCAGAUAAAGAGCCAGGAGCAGCUGGCUGCAGAGCUGGCAGAGUACACGGCCAAGAUUGCACUGCUGGAGGAGGCGCGGAGGCGCAAGGAGGACGAGGUAGAAGAGUGGCAGCACCAGGCUAAAGAAGCCCAGGACGACCUGGUGAAGACCAAAGAGGAGCUGCAUCUGGUGAUGACGGCCCCACCGCCCCCACCACCCCCAGUGUAUGAGCCCGUGAAUUACCACGUGCAGGAGGGACUGCAGGACGAGGGAGCAGAGCCCAUGGGCUACAGUGCUGAGCUCUCCAGUGAGGGCAUCCUGGAUGACCGCAACGAGGAGAAGCGGAUCACAGAGGCAGAGAAGAAUGAGCGCGUGCAGCGGCAGCUGCUGACCCUGAGCAACGAGUUGUCCCAGGCCCGGGAUGAGAACAAGAGGACCCACAAUGACAUCAUCCACAACGAGAACAUGCGGCAAGGCCGGGACAAGUAUAAGACGCUGCGGCAAAUCAGGCAGGGCAACACCAAGCAACGCAUUGACGAGUUCGAGGCCAUGUAGAGGCCAGGCUGGGACCAAGGGCGGAGGGCACCUCACUGCAGGCAGGUGUCACACUUGGCUCUUUAGUGUUCUCUUAAGUUUAGAAACCCCCUUGCUGUGAUCCAGUCCCUUAAAGAGCAGUUACGGGGCCUGCGUUCUGCCCCGAGACCCAGUGGGCUCCUCCCUGGUUCCUUCCAAUUGUACCACAUAGUGCCAAACAGGUCAGAUUUAAUGACAGUCACCGAAUCACUUCCUGUUUGGAUCAGGGAUUCGGAGGGCUGGCCCUCAU